UACGUAGGGGCAAGCGUUGUCCGGAUUUAUUGGGCGUAAAGAGCGUGUAGGCGGCCUGAAAGGUCAGCUGUGAAAACUCGAGGCUCAACCUCGAGACGUCGGUUGAAACCAUCUGGCUAGAGUCCGGAAGAGGAGAGUGGAAUUCCCGGUGUAGCGGUGAAAUGCGCAGAUAUCGGGAAGAACACCCGUGGCGAAGGCGGCUCUCUGGGACGGUACUGACGCUGAGACGGCGAAAGCGUGGGGAGCGAACAGG
rnacentral:rRNA from 1 species